CAUAUCAAUAAGCGGAGGAAAAGAAACCAACAGGGAUUGCCUCAGUAACGGCGAGUGAAGCGGCAAAAGCUCAAAUUUGAAACCUUCGGGAUUGUAAUUUGAAGAUUUGGCAUUGGAGAAAGCUAACCCAAGUUACUUGGAAUAGUACGUCAUAGAGGGUGACAACCCCGUCUGGCUAACCGUUCUCCAUGUAUUGCCUUAUCAAAGAGUCGAGUUGUUUGGGAAUGCAGCUCAAAGUGGGUGGUAAACUCCAUCUAAAGCUAAAUACUGGUGAGAGACCGAUAGCGAACAAGUACUGUGAAGGAAAGGUGAAAAGAACUUUGAAAAGAGAGUGAAAUAGUAUGUGAAAUUGUUGAUAGGGAAGGAAAUGAGCGGAGAGUGGUCGAGGUUUCAGCCAUCCCUUGGGAUGGUGUAUUGCCGACGCCGAGUCAUCGCUAGCGAGACGGGGGUUAUAAACGGGUUGCAUUCAUGCUUCUCACCUAGCCCCCCUACUGCCACCGACGACAUAAUCCGCCCAUUUCACCCGUCUUGAAACACGGACCAAGGAGUCUAAUGGAUAUGUGAGUGUUAGGGUGCCAAACCCCAGCGCGCAAUGAAAGUGAAUGAUUCGUUCAGAAUCGACCGAACUUGAUUUUUAUGACAGUUUUGAGUAAACACAUCCAUUGGGACCCGAAAGAUGGUGAACUAUGCCUGAAUAGGGUGAAGUCAGAGGAAACUCUGAUGGAGGCUCGUAGCGGUUCUGACGUGCAAAUCGAUCGUAGAAUUUGGGUAUAGGGGCGAAAGACUAAUCGAACCAUCUAGUAGCUGGUUCCUGCC
rnacentral:rRNA from 1 species